GGGAGUGGCUCAGUGGUAGAGCAUCGGCUUCCCAAGCCGGCGGUCGCGAGUUCGAAUCUCGUCUCCC
rnacentral:tRNA from 1 species